GCCAAGAUCGAAAACAGUGGGCUCCAGAUUCAGAAUCUGUCCAGGUCAGGCACAAGCUUUUACCAAGCUGCACUCCUGACUGUAGACAGACGCAGAGGUCAAGAGCUAAGGCCCCUAGACUGUUUUGUGGAUCGAUCUCCACAAACUUCAACCUUGAGGUCCCAGAUGGUCCAGGUGGUGGGAGAGCUGAAACCGAAGGCUCUACGGACUUGCUCCCCUGGCUAGGUCCGUGAAGAUCUGGGGUUCAACCUUGGUCCCCGCGCGCCCCCUGCUGGAUACUGCCUGCAGAGUGCAGAGAAAGGUUACUCCCCCAGAGAAGCCAGGACCUGUUUCUACGCCAUCACUUCUCUUUGCAGCACCGGACUCCAUCACACACCGGCUAUGGGGUCCUGGCUUAACCUCUCUGCAUCUCUAAGAAAUAAAAGACAGAGGAUCCAGAGAUGGGCCAGGGGUUAAGACCACUGGCUGCUCUUGCAGCAGACCUGGGUUGGAUCCCAGCACCCCUAUGACAGCUCACAGCUCUUUGUAACUCUUUGUGGCCUCCCCAGGCAUCAGAUGUAGGUGUGGCACACAGACAGAUCCAUGCAGCCAUUCACCCCUCCUCAUAAAAUAAAAAUAAAUAAAUCUGUAGAAAGAUUA